CACCUACGGGGCGCAGCAGUGAGGAAUAUUGGUCAAUGGGCGGAAGCCUGAACCAGCCAAGUAGCGUGCAGGAUGACGGCCCUACGGGUUGUAAACUGCUUUUAUACGGGAAUAACGCGCCUUACGUGUAGGGCUUUGCAUGUACCGUAUGAAUAAGGACCGGCUAAUUCCGUGCCAGCAGCCGCGGUAAUACGGAAGGUCCGGGCGUUAUCCGGAUUUAUUGGGUUUAAAGGGUGCGCAGGCGGCGAGUUAAGUCAGCGGUAAAAUUUCGGGGCUCAACCCCGACGAGCCGUUGAAACUGGCUU
rnacentral:rRNA from 1 species